rnacentral:rRNA from 1 species
GGAUUGACACAUCGGUCGUGCCUUAAGGGGUAUGAACUGGUGUAGUCAAUUUCUCACCUUCUGGAGAACCGCGAUGUCCUUAAUUGGGUGCCGCGGGGAACCAGGACCUUUACUUUGAAAAAAUUAGAGUGUUUAAAGCAGGCUCACGCUUGAAUACAUUAGCAUGGAAUAAUAAAAUAGGACGGAUGAUUCUAUUUUGUUGGUUUCUAGGACCACCGUAAUGAUUAAUAGGGAUAGUUGGG